UACGUAGGGACCAAGCGUUGUUCGGAUUUACUGGGCGUAAAGGGCGCGUAGGCGGCAUGGCAAGUCACUUGUGAAAUCUCCGGGCUUAACUCGGAACGGCCAAGUGAAACUGCCACGCUAGAGUGCAGAAGGGGCAAUCGGAAUUCUUGGUGUAGCGGUGAAAUGCGUAGAUAUCAAGAGGAACACCUGAGGUGAAGACGGGUUGCUGGGCUGACACUGACGCUGAGGCGCGGAAGCCAGGGGAGCAAACGGG
rnacentral:rRNA from 1 species